GACGAACGCUGGCGGCGUGCUUAACACAUGCAAGUCGAACGAUGAAGCUGGAGCUUGCUCCGGUGGAUUAGUGGCGAACGGGUGAGUAACACGUGAGCAAUCUGCCCUUGACUCUGGGAUAACUGCGGGAAACUGUAGCUAAUACCGGAUACGAGAUUUGGAGGCAUCUCCGGAUCUGGAAAGAAUUUCGGUCAAGGAUGAGCUCGCGGCCUAUCAGCUUGUUGGUGAGGUAAUGGCUCACCAAGGCGACGACGGGUAGCCGGCCUGAGAGGGUGACCGGCCACACUGGGACUGAGACACGGCCCAGACUCCUACGGGAGGCAGCAGUGGGGAAUAUUGCACAAUGGGCGAAAGCCUGAUGCAGCAACGCCGCGUGAGGGAUGAAGGCCUUCGGGUUGUAAACCUCUUUUAGUAGGGAAGAAGCGAAAGUGACGGUACCUACAGAAAAAGCACCGGCUAACUACGUGCCAGCCGCCGCAGUAA
rnacentral:rRNA from 1 species